rnacentral:rRNA from 1 species
GCAAGUCGAACGGAGUUGUGUUGAAAGCUUGCUGGAAAUACAACUUAGUGGCGGACGGGUGAGUAACACGUGAGUAACCUGCCUUUCAGAGUGGCAUAACGUUUGGAAACGAACGCUAAUACAGCAUAACAUGAGAGAACGGCAUCGUUCUUUCAUCAAAGAUUUUAUCGCUGUGAGAUGGGCUCGCGGCCGAUUAGGUAGUUGGUGAGAUAACAGCCCACCAAGCCGACGAUCGGUAGCCGGACUGAGAGGUUGAAC